CGUGUCUAUGGCCAACAUAAUUGAGAGACUUAGCACAGUUGUACAAAGAGAACAUUGGUUUAAAAAACAAUAAAAACUGUAUAACUCAUAGAUAUAUUCAAAAAGACAUUACGGAUAAAAUACCCAAACUUCUUUCAGAGUUCUGCUAAUAAUUUUUUUGGUUUAUAGGAACGCUCCUCGGAGGCGCAUUAGACUAUGUCAGAGCAAAUUUGCUCCAUCACGAAACCAAUCGUCCCAAUGUCAAAGAUUUGGUUUGGGUAUUCACCGACGGUGGACAAUUUGACGAAGUCGAAGGACCCAGAGAUCGACUGAGACAAGAAGGAGCAGAGAUAUUUGCUCUUGGCUUUCAACGGUCAUUGUGGGACGACAUGGCUAUGUUGGAAAUCGCAGGUAAAAGAAAAAAUCUCAUUAAAAUUCACAAGAGAUUUAAUGUACUUCGAAAAAGAAUUAUCGAAAAGAUUUGUAUAUUAUAAUAGGGAAGACAAUAAUACAAACAGAAUGAACAAUUUUCAGGUGGUAAAUUUUCUAAUCAUAUUAUCUACGUCAAUGGAAGUAGAAGACGAUUUCAUAUAUAUAUUUAACAACUAUAAUACGAAUCAAGCACCUUAUUAUUACUUUUGUUGUUUUUCAUUUAUUAUUGUUCGCGGGCAUUUUCUAAGUUUCAUUCAGAAGUAUGGAGAAGUCAACCUAUUUGCGAGAGACAGUGAAACAAAUCGUUUGGGUUGGGCGGGCACCUAUGUAUACAACGUUUCUAACGGUUUACCUAAUAAUGACAUAAUAAUAACAAUUAAUUCUGUCGAAUACGUGUAUUUUGUAUCACGCAGUUUGUGUCAUCGUUAGUAAUUAAUUAUCUUGAUCAUGCGAUGGAAGCCGUGGCUAGAGUUAUUUCCUUACUAUUAGGACUUGCAUAAUAAUAUUGCUCACUCUGUUUAGAUUUGUCAUUUUGAGCUUUGCUCUUAAUUUAUAUUAUGUUCAUCGGAAAAAAUAUUAAACACGAAAUAUAUAAAGUGUAAAACGGAAGCUGUUACGUGCCAGCUCAAAUCUCGAACUUUGACAGUAAUUCGAAAUUUCUCAAUGUUACUAUCGCGGUAGCUGGAAAAAAUGCUCCAUUUUGAAGCCAAUGCUUAAGCAUAGUAAUAGCAUAGUAAUAUCUCAUAAACAAAACAAUUUCACCACAACUAUCCAGUUUAAUUUAUUUUAAGUCAGUUUCAGACAUGAUUAGGACAUCGUGUGUUGGUUAUUUAGUAUUAUAUAUAUAUAUUGAUCAUGUUCACUAUUUGAUUAUCGUAUUGUACCUAAUCCUAUCGUGUAAUGCGAUCGUAUUUUACUGUAAUCGUAAGUUGGAAGCUGUUAAUAAAAGAAUUGUCUGGUUGAA